rnacentral:rRNA from 1 species
UACGUAGGGUGCGAGCGUUAAUCGGAAUUACUGGGCGUAAAGCGUGCGUAGGUGGUUUGUUAAGUCUGAUGUGAAAGCCCUGGGCUCAACCUGGGAACGGCAUUGGAAACUGGCUUACUAGAGUGCGGUAGAGGGGUGUGGAAUUCCCGGUGUAGCAGUGAAAUGCGUAGAUAUCUGGAGGAAUACCGGUGGCGAAGGCGGCAUCCUGGACCGGCAUUGACGCUGAGGAGCGAAAGCCAGGGGAGCAAACGGG